rnacentral:rRNA from 1 species
GGUUAAGCGACUAAGCGUACACGGUGGAUGCCCUGGCAGUCAGAGGCGAUGAAGGACGUGCUAAUCUGCGAAAAGCGCCGGCGAGGUGAUAUGAACCCUUGACCCGGCGAUGUCCGAAUGGGGAAACCCAGUGUGUUCCGACACACUAUCGUUAACUGAAUACAUAGGUUAACGAGGCGAACCGGGGGAACUGAAACAUCUAAGUACCCCGAGGAAAAGAAAUCAACCGAGAUUCCCCCAGUAGCGGCGAGCGAACGGGGAGCAG